rnacentral:rRNA from 1 species
CAGCCGCCGCGGUAAUACGUAGGGUGCGAGCGUUCAUCGGAUUUACUGGGCGUAAAGCGUGCGCAGGCGGCCCGUUAAGACAGGUGUGAAAUCCCUGGGCUCAACCUAGGAAUUGCGCUUGUGACUGGCGGGCUCGAGUACGGUAGAGGGGGGUGGAAUUCCUGGUGUAGCAGUGAAAUGCGUAGAGAUCAGGAGGAACACCGAUGGCGAAGGCAGCCCCCUGGGCCUGUACUGACGCUCAUGCACGAAAGCGUGGGGAGCAAACAGGAUUAGAUACCCUGGUAGUCCACGCCCGAAACGAUGGGUACUAGCCGUUUGGUGCGCGAUAGCGCUGAGUGGCGAAGCUAACGCGUGAAGUACCCCGCCUGGGGAGUACGGCCGCAAGGUUGAAACUUAAAGGAAUUGGCGGG